rnacentral:rRNA from 1 species
GACGAACGCUGGCGGCGUGCUUAACACAUGCAAGUCGAACGGAAAGGCUCCAGCUUGCUGGCGUACUCGAGUGGCGAACGGGUGAGUAACACGUGGGUAAUCUGCCCUGCACUCUGGGAUAAGCCUGGGAAACUGGGUCUAAUACUGGAUAUGACCUUUCUCCUUAUGGGGUUUGGUGGAAAGUUUUUCGGUGUAGGAUGAGCCCGCGGCCUAUCAGCUUGUUGGUGGGGUGAUGGCCUACCAAGGCGACGACGGGUAGCCGGCCUGAGAGGGUGAUCGGCCACAUUGGGACUGAGAUACGGCCCAGGCUCCUACGGGAGGCAGCAGUGGGGAAUAUUGCACAAUGGGCGGAAGCCUGAUGCAGCGACGCCGCGUGAGGGAUGACGGCCUUCGGGUUGUAAACCUCUUUCAGCAGGGACGAAGCGUAAGUGACGGUACCUGCAGAAGAAGCACCGGCUAACUAUGUG